UACGUAGGUGGCAAGCGUUGCCCGGAUUUACUGGGCGUAAAGAGCGCGCAGGCGGUCGUUCAAGUCGCGUGUGAAAGCCCCCGGCUCAACUGGGGAGGGUCACGCGAUACUGAUCGACUCGAAGGCAGGAGAGGGUAGUGGAAUUCCCGGUGUAGUGGUGAAAUGCGUAGAUAUCGGGAGGAACACCAGUGGCGAAGGCGACUACCUGGCCUGUUUCUUGACGCUGAGGCGCGAAAGCUAGGGGAGCAAACGGG
rnacentral:rRNA from 1 species